GCUGUGCCCAUCAGAACCUGCAGAGCCCUUGAACAGUGAGGGAGUGAAGCAAGAUGAGUAUUUCAGAUCAUCUACUCACUUGGUCUACCCUCCAGUCAUUCAGAGUUGGGUUUUACUAUGAUUUACAAAACUAUGUAACAAGGCAGGAAGAGCAGGAAGCCAAGGGCUGCACUUCAUCCCAGAGGGGGGAUGCUGAAAUAUUGAACGAACUGCACGCAGGUGUCCAAGCUUCAGGAAAUUCUAAUUGAAACACUGACUGAAAAAGUCCAUCCUACUUACAUACAUCGAGCUGUUGUUUAAGCCCUUUUUCACAUGCAAUGAGCUCAUAUUCGGAAUGUUUUGACUCAACAUGCAUAAAGGCUUGGCAGAAGCUUUUGGGGAGGAGCACUCUGUCACAGAAAGCAAGAGAAAAACAAGGCUGGGGCUCAGCACAUUCUCUAGGAGCACACAGGCCUUCAUGGGCCAGGGUUUCCGUUAUU